rnacentral:rRNA from 1 species
AUGCCACUGCUACCGCCUCCGCCGCCGCCGACGGCGCCUCCGGGGCGCGGGAGGCGGAGACUGGGCAGCCGACGGAGGCGACGAUCAAAGAUGAGGAACUGGGCAGAGCUGCCCCUGGACGUGAUGCUCUAUGUCCUCCACAAGCUGGACGACGUCGAGCUCAUGUUCGGCGGCGCGGCCAGGGUGUGCCGCUCCUGGCACGACGCUGUGUGCGAGCCCGAGCUGUGGCGCCGCGUCGACAUGCGCGACCGCUCCCGGCGCUUCCAGGAGACGGUCAGCCUCAACAAAGUGACGCAGCUCUCCAUUUGGUUCAGCGCCGGGCAAUGCCGAGAAUUCUUCGGCCAGCAGGACCUCGACAACGACCUCCUCUUCUUCCUGGCCGACCGGGCACCCUUACUGAAGAGCCUUCAUCUUACCAAGUGCUGUAAUGUAACCAGCAAAGGAUUGACAGAGGCAAUAAAGAAAUUCCCUCUGUUGGAGGAGCUCGAGCUUUGUGAAUGUGAGAGAUAUGACACAUGGGUCUUUGAGGUUGUUGCCGCGGCUUGUCCACUACUGAAGCACCUCAAACAUUUCAACGAUAGAGGAUAUACAUGGUAUAAUUUGGAACGGGAUAUAUACCCUGUCGACAACCGCGAAGCCCUGGCAAUUGCAAGGAUGCAUGAGCUACGGUCCCUGAAGAUUUUCCACAGUGGCCUCGACAACCAAGGGUUGACAGCCAUCCUUGGGGGCUGCCCUCACCUGGAGUCCUUGACAUACGCUAUUGCGGCAACAUAA